ACGGGUGAGUAACGCGUGGGUGACCUACCUUCGAAUGGGGGAUAACGUCCCGAAAGGGACGCUAAUACCGCAUAACAUCCUGCCUUUGGACAGGUGGAGAUCAAAGCUGGGGAUCGCAAGACCUGGCGUUUGAAGAGGGGCCCGCGUCUGAUUAGCUAGUUGGUGGGGUAACGGCUCACCAAGGCUUCGAUCAGUAUCCGGCCUGAGAGGGCGGACGGACACACUGGGACUGAGACACGGCCCAGACUCC
rnacentral:rRNA from 1 species